rnacentral:rRNA from 1 species
AGAGUUUGAUCAUGGCUCAGGACGAACGCUGGCGGCGUGCCUAAUACAUGCAAGUCGAGCGAACUUGCCUAGAUGAUUUUAGUGCUUGCACUAAAUGAAACUAGAUACAAGCGAGCGGCGGACGGGUGAGUAACACGUGGGUAACCUGCCCAAGAGACUGGGAUAACACCUGGAAACAGAUGCUAAUACCGGAUAACAACACUAGACGCAUGUCUAGAGUUUGAAAGAUGGUUCUGCUAUCACUCUUGGAUGGACCUGCGGUGCAUUAGCUAGUUGGUAAGGUAACGGCUUACCAAGGCAAUGAUGCAUAGCCGAGUUGAGAGACUGAUCGGCCACAUUGGGACUGAGACACGGCCCAAACUCCUACGGGAGGCAGCAGUAGGGAAUCUUCCACAAUGGACGAAAGUCUGAUGGAGCAACGCCGCGUGAGUGAAGAAGGGUUUCGGCUCGUAAAGCUCUGUUGGUAGUGAAGAAAGAUAGAGGUAGUAACUGGCCUUUAUUUGACGGUAAUUACUUAGAAAGUCACGGCUAACUACGUGCCAGCAGCCGCGGUAAUACGUAGGUGGCAAGCGUUGUCCGGAUUUAUUGGGCGUAAAGCGAGUGCAGGCGGUUCAAUAAGUCUGAUGUGAAAGCCUUCGGCUCAACCGGAGAAUUGCAUCAGAAACUGUUGAACUUGAGUGCAGAAGAGGAGAGUGGAACUCCAUGUGUAGCGGUGGAAUGCGUAGAUAUAUGGAAGAACACCAGUGGCGAAGGCGGCUCUCUGGUCUGCAACUGACGCUGAGGCUCGAAAGCAUGGGUAGCGAACAGGAUUAGAUACCCUGGUAGUCC